UGGGAGCUCUGUGGGGAGAUCCAUGAACCCAGCGCAUCUGACCACUGGAAUGAUGGAGUUCACUUAUGCGUCCCAAAUCUGAGGCACAAUCCUCUCACUGGCAACUGGAACCCGGAACCAUACAGGGAAAGGGGUUCUGGGAAACAUGGUUCCCAGCCUUAGACGGGCAUGGUGAUUGGCCAUGAGUUGACUGAGUUGUCCAGCACAGAGGUACAAGCCUGGCUGCCAGAUUCUGGAAGCUGAACUGAGGAAAGAGUCUGGGAGUCUCACUGUUCAGAAUAUGGACUUAAAUUUAACCCUUCUUUUUACUAAGGCACCUAAUUCUUCCUUGGCUGUGCCUAAUAUCCCUAAGUCCAGAGCUGCUCCAGUACAAGCUCUCCAGAGUGUGAAACUUGUGUUGGGGAGGACGGGAGAGAAGACCAAAAUUUAACAGAGGCCUUCUACAGACUCCCAGUCAGUCCUCUGUUUUCAGUCCCAUCCCCUGAGCCUUUCCGCCAUUCUGUACAGCUACCAGAUGGCUGCUGGGAGCUUUCUUCUCUGGGGUCUUAGGUUCUGCCUUUUUCUGCUAUGCUAAGGUCAUUUCCACUUAUUUGUCCAUUCUCUAAGAUUUCGUUGACAGCUCUCACCUGCUGCUGUCUACUCUUGCAUUCUCUUUGUCCUUACUGGGUCAUACUUAUUUCAUUCCUUUAUCAUCAUAUUAGUGGCAUUUCAGAAAGAAAUCAACAAAGCCAUGUGUUCACCAUGUUUAACUGAAGUCUAAUAAGAUUUUUCAGAUAAAUAGUAUGUAGUGCAAAGAGCUCAAAGUCAGGUGACCCAGCCUGUUCCAGCCAUCUUACCCUUUUACUUUUAAGGAGCCCAGUUUUCUCAUCUCCAAAACAAGUUGGUCCCUUGGAGUCCUUUUUAAAGACUCUAAUGAAAGCUGUGGCCCCCUCCCUUAAAAAAAUAGUAUAAGUACACAUACACACAAAAUUGAGUAUGUUUUAAAAGAUUCACAGGUCCCCGAAGGCCUUCCAUGAACCCUUCAAAGGUAUUCACCCCCAAGUUCAGAGCACCUGGCUUAGAUCAUCUCUGAUGUUGCUUUUAGAUCUGACAUUCUGAUUCUCAAUGCUCUAAGAUUUAAAUGCAAUAGAUUUCAAUGAUGACAUUUCAAGCUGGCCUUUUUAAAAGUUAAUGAAAGAGUUUUCAAAGUACUAUUUAUCAGGAAACCAAGCAAGCUUGAGUCCAAAAGUUACUCUGACUUCAGUUCAGAGAGGUCAAGGGGCUUAGAAGUUCAAGUGGCUUGUGGACUUCUAGAUGGCUGAUCAGCAUGGCUUGUGGAAGGAGUGCCCAGAGAUCAAAGAAACCCUCUGUUGUUUGCUCACCAUGACCAAUGCCAUGGAAUCGUUGCAAGAAAUCUAGGCAGAGGCUUGACCAGCAGCAUCUAGUGGCAUCCAGGUGACAUUAGCAGUGGCCUCCCUGACAGUGCAUUUUCAUGCUGUGUAAUUUUGAAUAAUGGUGUCUAGAAAACAAGCUAAACUGAGCUAUGGAGUAGGGAAUAGCAUCCCUAUGUACCCAAGAGACCUUACAUUAUUUUUGGUCUUUAUUUCCAGCUCUUCAGAACCUGAAAGGCAGCAUAGCUCCUGGGACUGUGUGUGUGUUAUACAGCGGCUAAGGAGGAAGAUGAUUUGUUUCGGGCUGUGCAGAGUGAGUGAAGAUGGAGCUGCAGUUAGUGUCCAUGGAACAGAUGCAACACUAUCUGCCUCACCCUACCUGUGACUAUCCUCUCACUGGUUGGCAGGGCUUGAAGGAAGAAACAUAAUCCACCCAAGCUCCCAGCAAGCAGGAGUCCCUAAGAGUCAGGACCAGGAUCUCAUAGCAAAGUGGAAUUCAUCUCUAAAAAGAGGUUUAUGGCUGACCAGACUUCAUCAGUUCAGAUAUGUCUGCCCCCAUAGGGAAGGUGAGUGUAUGGUCAAGACCAGAGCUCAGUAUUUCAGAGAACUCUCUGGUUAGAUUCCACAUCAGAGUGAAUUACUGUCCUGUCACAAUUCUUGUAACACAUGGUAUCUCUGUUAAAGCACAUAAUACAUUCUACCUUGAAUUAGA